GACCUCAAACUAAAUAAAUGCUAAUGUUUACUCGUUGGAAAGAUAUAGAUAUAGUUUAUACUGGUAUAGCUCCUAUCAUAAAGUAGAAAUUGAAUGCAUUUUUGGUGAUUAAUGAUUGACCACUAAACCAAAAAAACUGUUAGGCACUGCUAAAAAAACCUAUUACUACGUGUUAUUAUAAGUACAAUUGUACUUGUAUUUCCCUUUUAAUUUUUAAAAUUAUUCAUGCCUGCUCUUGGGAAGGAAUGCAGGAUUUGGGAAUGCAGGAUUUAUAUUUAGGAUCCAGAUUUAUAUGGUUUUGCUUCAUUCUUGAGUAUCCACAGUAAUGCCAAAAAAAUAGUAUGCAGUGAAUAGCUUAUCAUUAGUUGUAAGCUCCAAAUUACAAAAGUAUCCUUAGAAUGUUUGGAAAAAUUGAUAAUAUAAAGUAAAAAAAUAGAUAAAU